rnacentral:rRNA from 1 species
CGGUAGGUCAGCAUGCCCCGAAUUAUCUGGGCUACACGCGGGCUACAAUGGUGGGACAAUGGGUAUCGACACCGAAAGGUGAAGGCAAUCUCCUAAACCCAUCCGUAGUUCGGAUUGUGGGCUGCAACUCGCCCACAUGAAGCUGGAAUCUGUAGUAAUCGUGUCUCAAAAUGGCACGGUGAAUAUGUCCCUGCUCCUU